GAUUAAGUUAUUAAGGGCGCACGGUGGAUGCCUUGGCACUAGAAGCCGAUGAAGGACGUUACUAACGACGAUAUGCUUUGGGGAGCUGUAAGUAAGCUUUGAUCCAGAGAUUUCCGAAUGGGGAAACCCAGCAUGAGUUAUGUCAUGUUAUCGAUAUGUGAAUACAUAGCAUAUCAGAAGGCACACCCGGAGAACUGAAACAUCUUAGUACCCGGAGGAAGAGAAAGAAAAUUCGAUUCCCUUAGUAGCGGCGAGCGAAACGGGAAGAGCCCAAACCAACAAGCUUGCUUGUUGGGGUUGUAGGACACUCUAUACGGAGUUACAAAGGACGACAUUAGACGAAUCAUCUGGAAAGAUGAAUCAAAGAAGGUAAUAAUCCUGUAGUCGAAAAUGUUGUCUCUCUUGAGUGGAUCCUGAGUACGACGGAGCACGUGAAAUUCCGUCGGAAUCUGGGAGGACCAUCUCCUAAGGCUAAAUACUCUCUAGUGACCGAUAGUGAACCAGUACCGUGAGGGAAAGGUGAAAAGCACCCCGGAAGGGGAGUGAAAUAGAACCUGAAACCGUGUGCUUACAAGUAGUCAGAGCCCGUUAAUGGGUGAUGGCGUGCCUUUUGUAGAAUGAACCGGCGAGUUACGAUUUGAUGCAAGGUUAAGCAGUAAAUGUGGAGCCGUAGCGAAAGCGAGUCUGAAUAGGGCGUUUAGUAUUUGGUCGUAGACCCGAAACCAGGUGAUCUACCCUUGGUCAGGUUGAAGUUCAGGUAACACUGAAUGGAGGACCGAACCGACUUACGUUGAAAAGUGAGCGGAUGAACUGAGGGUAGCGGAGAAAUUCCAAUCGAACCUGGAGAUAGCUGGUUCUCUCCGAAAUAGCUUUAGGGCUAGCCUCAAGUGAUGAUUAUUGGAGGUAGAGCACUGUUUGGACGAGGGGCCCCUCUCGGGUUACCGAAUUCAGACAAACUCCGAAUGCCAAUUAAUUUAACUUGGGAGUCAGAACAUGGGUGAUAAGGUCCGUGUUCGAAAGGGAAACAGCCCAGACCACCAGCUAAGGUCCCAAAAUAUAUGUUAAGUGGAAAAGGAUGUGGCGUUGCCCAGACAACUAGGAUGUUGGCUUAGAAGCAGCCAUCAUUUAAAGAGUGCGUAAUAGCUCACUAGUCGAGUGACACUGCGCCGAAAAUGUACCGGGGCUAAACAUAUUACCGAAGCUGUGGAUUGUCCUUUGGACAAUGGUAGGAGAGCGUUCUAAGGGCGUUGAAGCAUGAUCGUAAGGACAUGUGGAGCGCUUAGAAGUGAGAAUGCCGGUGUGAGUAGCGAAAGACGGGUGAGAAUCCCGUCCACCGAUUGACUAAGGUUUCCAGAGGAAGGCUCGUCCGCUCUGGGUUAGUCGGGUCCUAAGCUGAGGCCGACAGGCGUAGGCGAUGGAUAACAGGUUGAUAUUCCUGUACCACCUAUAAUCGUUUUAAUCGNNNNNNNNNNNNNNNNNNNNNNNNNNNNNNNNNNNNNNNNNNNNNNNNNNNNNNNNNNNNNNNNNNNNNNNNNNNNNNNNNNNNNNNNNNNNNNNNCACCUAUAAUCGUUUUAAUCGAUGGGGGGACGCAGUAGGAUAGGCGAAGCGUGCGAUUGGAUUGCACGUCUAAGCAGUAAGGCUGAGUAUUAGGCAAAUCCGGUACUCGUUAAGGCUGAGCUGUGAUGGGGAGAAGACAUUGUGUCUUCGAGUCGUUGAUUUCACACUGCCGAGAAAAGCCUCUAGAUAGAAAAUAGGUGCCCGUACCGCAAACCGACACAGGUAGUCAAGAUGAGAAUUCUAAGGUGAGCGAGCGAACUCUCGUUAAGGAACUCGGCAAAAUGACCCCGUAACUUCGGGAGAAGGGGUGCUCUUUAGGGUUAACGCCCAGAAGAGCCGCAGUGAAUAGGCCCAAGCGACUGUUUAUCAAAAACACAGGUCUCUGCUAAACCGUAAGGUGAUGUAUAGGGGCUGACGCCUGCCCGGUGCUGGAAGGUUAAGAGGAGUGGUUAGCUUCUGCGAAGCUACGAAUCGAAGCCCCAGUAAACGGCGGCCGUAACUAUAACGGUCCUAAGGUAGCGAAAUUCCUUGUCGGGUAAGUUCCGACCCGCACGAAAGGCGUAACGAUUUGGGCACUGUCUCAACGAGAGACUCGGUGAAAUCAUAGUACCUGUGAAGAUGCAGGUUACCCGCGACAGGACGGAAAGACCCCGUGGAGCUUUACUGUAGCCUGAUAUUGAAAUUCGGCACAGCUUGUACAGGAUAGGUAGGAGCCUUUGAAACGUGAGCGCUAGCUUACGUGGAGGCGCUGGUGGGAUACUACCCUAGCUGUGUUGGCUUUCUAACCCGCACCACUUAUCGUGGUGGGAGACAGUGUCAGGCGGGCAGUUUGACUGGGGCGGUCGCCUCCUAAAAGGUAACGGAGGCGCUCAAAGGUUCCCUCAGAAUGGUUGGAAAUCAUUCAUAGAGUGUAAAGGCAUAAGGGAGCUUGACUGCGAGACCUACAAGUCGAGCAGGGUCGAAAGACGGACUUAGUGAUCCGGUGGUUCCGCAUGGAAGGGCCAUCGCUCAACGGAUAAAAGCUACCCCGGGGAUAACAGGCUUAUCUCCCCCAAGAGUUCACAUCGACGGGGAGGUUUGGCACCUCGAUGUCGGCUCAUCGCAUCCUGGGGCUGUAGUCGGUCCCAAGGGUUGGGCUGUUCGCCCAUUAAAGCGGUACGCGAGCUGGGUUCAGAACGUCGUGAGACAGUUCGGUCCCUAUCCGUCGUGGGCGUAGGAAAUUUGAGAGGAGCUGUCCUUAGUACGAGAGGACCGGGAUGGACAUACCUCUGGUGUACCAGUUGUCGUGCCAACGGCAUAGCUGGGUAGCUAUGUGUGGACGGGAUAAGUGCUGAAAGCAUCUAAGCAUGAAGCCCCCCUCAAGAUGAGAUUUCCCAACUUCGGUUAUAAGAUCCCUCAAAGAUGAUGAGGUUAAUAGGUUCGAGGUGGAAGCAUGGUGACAUGUGGAGCUGACGAAUACUAAUCGAUCGAAGACUUAAUCAA
rnacentral:rRNA from 1 species